rnacentral:rRNA from 1 species
UUCUGCGUGGAAGGGCCAUCGCUCAACGGAUAAAAGCUACCCUGGGGAUAACAGGCUUAUCUCCCCCAAGAGUCCACAUCGACGGGGAGGUUUGGCACCUCGAUGUCGGCUCAUCACAUCCUGGGGCGGUAGUAGGUCCCAAGGGUUGGGCUGUUCGCCCAUUAAAGUGGUACGCGAGCUGGGUUCAGAACGUCGUGAGACAGUUCGGUCCCUAUCCGUCGCAGGCGUAGGAAAUUUGAGAAGACCUGUCCUUAGUACGAGAGGACCGGGAUGGACGUACCUCUGGUGUACCAGUUGUCCUGCCAAGGGCAUGGCUGGGUAGCUAUGUACGGAAUGGAUAAGCGCUGAAAGCAUCUAAGCGCGAAGCCAACUUCAAGAUAAGAUUUCCCACCGCAAGGGUAAGACCCCAGAAAGACUAUCUGGUUG